CGACUUGUUACGUUAGACGCUAUU
rnacentral:rasiRNA from 1 species